GGCCUUAUAGUGUAGUGGUUUAGCACACGAGGUUUUGACUUCACGGUUUCCUCGUGACCCAGGUUCGAACCCUGGUAAGGCCU
rnacentral:tRNA from 1 species